GCGAAGGUGGCGGAAUUGGUAGACCCGCUAGCUUCAGGUGUUAGUGUCCUUACGGACGUGGGGGUUCAAGUCCCCCCCCUCGCACCA
rnacentral:tRNA from 1 species